rnacentral:sRNA from 1 species
CGUAUGCAGUGUACAACAUUUCUGUGUGCUGUGUCUGUGUGGUAUUUGUGUGUCCAUUUGUCUGGGGCUUGGCUGCUCCAUCGCUCACAACUUUUCUCUGUUUUCCUCCCUCCCGCUUACGGGCUGCUCUGUUCCCAACAGUCUUUCAUAGGAUUUUUGCUAAUGGUGAGAGCUCCCUCUGCCCCACUUAGGGCUCUGUUUGUGCUCCCUCUGCUCCCUUGGCGGCUGCCCAGUGCAUGCAGUCGUGGGAGCAAACCCUCUUCCCCUAUCUUCCCUGCCUAAUUAUGCCUGCUUAGUUUCUGCCCUGCCAGCCCUCCGCCUGCUUGCCCCUUCAUAACCUGCUUGUUUCCUGUGGAUUCUGCCUGGCUGGCCACUUACCUCCUGGAUUCAUGUUCUCCCUCAUCAUCAGGCUAGUUCCCAGAUCAUACUGUGCUCCCAGAUUCUCUGUGACUUGUAGUCAUUGUUUAUGAUCUGAGUGAGUCCAAAUUGGGCCUGGUCCUGGUUCCUCGUUCAGCUCUGUGGCAGACAGUGUUGAGGAAUAAGGGGGUAGAACAGGAGUCUAAAAUGUUUUGGUGGAUUAAAAGUGGAACAGAUUCAAGGGUAUUAGCUCAAUUCUGAGCUGUUUUGAGUUUCACUCAGCAAAGGUGGGUAAGAAGGAGGCUACCUCCUGAGCUGUAUGUUAAUACUUCUUAUCCUUAUUUAUCCAAGUUCCUGAGGUCUCCAAUUGUCCCAGAUUAGGAAGGGCUGCCUGUGUUUUUAUGUUAUUUGCAGGGUGGAUGAAAAAACUAAAACCAAAUAUUUUCAUGUGAGCAGGGAUUAGAGGUACCUGGGAUUUAGGGAAGGUGAAUGCAGUACAAGUGAAAAUUUUUCCUUAAACUUCAUUGCUUCUAGACCAGCCUGAAGCCCCUGUGUAUCUGUUAAUUUAGUCUGGUGCUUUUGUUGCUCCUGAUUUAGGGACAUUAGAUGAGAAGCAGUAGGCCUAAGAAAGGGGAGGUAGGUGGCAUCCAUGUGUGGUCUGUAGUUCAGGACAGGAAAGGGAAUACGUUUGUGCCUGUUGAGGGUCAUCAGAAAGGAGACUUCAGGAGAGAAUUUGGCUUUUGGGGCCUCUCUCUGGAGUGAGACUAUUCUUCAUUGAUGAUGGUCAGAUUGUGGGUGUCUCCCCUACUCCCAGUGGCUCCUGACACUAUCAACAAUCAUGUGAAGACUUGUCGAGAAGAGCAGAAGAAUCUACACUUCUUUGCACCAGAGUAUGGAGAAGUCACUAAUGUGACAACAGCAGUGGACAUCUACUCCUUUGGCAUGUGUGCACUGGAGAUGGCAGUGCUGGAGAUUCAGGGCAAUGGAGAGUCCUCAUAUGUGCCACAGGAAGCCAUCAGCAGUGCCAUCCAGCUUCUAGAAGACCCAUUACAGAGGGAGUUCAUUCAAAAGUGCCUGCAGUCUGAGCCUGCUCGCAGACCAACAGCCAGAGAACUUCUGUUCCACCCAGCAUUGUUUGAAGUGCCCUCGCUCAAACUCCUUGCGGCCCACUGCAUUGUGGGACACCAACACAUGAUCCCAGAGAACGCUCUGGAGGAGAUCACCAAAAACAUGGAUACUAGUGCUGUACUGGCUGAAAUCCCUGCAGGACCAGGAAGAGAACCAGUUCAGACUUUGUACUCUCAGUCACCAGCUCUGGAAUUAGAUAAAUUCCUUGAAGAUGUCAGGAAUGGGAUCUAUCCUCUGACAGCCUUUGGGCUGCCUCGGCCCCAGCAGCCACAGCAGGAGGAGGUGACAUCACCUGUCGUGCCCCCCUCUGUCAAGACUCCAACACCUGAACCAGCUGAGGUGGAGACUCGCAAGGUGGUGCUGAUGCAGUGCAACAUUGAGUCGGUGGAGGAGGGAGUCAAACACCACCUGACGCUUCUGCUGAAGUUGGAGGACAAACUGAACCGGCACCUGAGCUGUGACCUGAUGCCAAAUGAGAAUAUCCCCGAGUUGGCGGCUGAGCUGGUGCAGCUGGGCUUCAUUAGUGAGGCUGACCAGAGCCGGUUGACUUCUCUGCUAGAAGAGACCUUGAACAAGUUCAAUUUUGCCAGGAACAGUACCCUCAACUCAGCCGCUGUCACCGUCUCCUCUUAGAGCUCACUCGGGCCAGGCCCUGAUCUGCGCUGUGGCUGUCCCUGGACGUGCUGCAGCCCUCCUGUCCCUUCCCCCCAGUCAGUAUUACCCUGUGAAGCCCCUUCCCUCCUUUAUUAUUCAGGAGGGCUGGGGGGGCUCCCUGGUUCUGAGCAUCAUCCUUCCCCUCCCCUCUCUUCCUCCCCUCUGCACUUUGUUUACUUGUUUUGCACAGACGUGGGCCUGGGCCUUCUCAGCAGCCGCCUUCUAGUUGGGGGCUAGUCGCUGAUCUGCCGGCUCCCGCCCAGCCUGUGUGGAAAGGAGGCCCACGGGCACUAGGGGAGCCGAAUUCUACAAUCCCGCUGGGGCGGCCGGGGCGGGAGAGAAAGGUGGUGCUGCAGUGGUGGCCCUGGGGGGCCAUUCGAUUCGCCUCAGUUGCUGCUGUAAUAAAAGUCUACUUUUUGCU